AUAGUGCUUGUGCUCUACGUUCAGAUAUAAGCAGAAACUAGAGGAAAUUUUUUGUUUGGAUAAAAAUUUUGUUCAUGGCGAUAAGGCAAACACUGUUUGGAUAGUUAGAUUCGAAUAGUGGGAAUAAAAUUAAUUAAAAUUUUAAAUUAAUACUAUUUUAUAUAAUUAAUUAACAUCAAAAUAUUAAAUAAAAAUAAUUUAAUAAAUUAAAAAUUUAUUAGCUAUGAAUAUUGAGUAAGAUAAUGAAAAAUAUAUUAACUAAUUAAUUAUAUUAAUUAAUUAUAAAAUAUAACAUAACAUUUUAAUUAAUUAGUAAAUUAUUUAAUUAGUUAAUUAGAUGAUUUGUUAAGAAAUUAAUUUAAUUAGCU
rnacentral:lncRNA from 1 species